rnacentral:sRNA from 1 species
UAAAGAUACCCAUUUGAGAAGUGCGAUU